rnacentral:lncRNA from 1 species
UGGUCUCCUUUCCCUGCAUGGAGAAGUGAAGCAAUAGGAUGGAAAUGCUACGGAUGCAGAUGUGGUAUUGAAGAGAACCAUCUUGAACAUAAUAGAGGAUAGUAAAAUAUUAACGGAGCUUAUGUUAUGCAGGGGUGAAUGAUGCUAUGCAUAUCAUCCCCAAACCGAUCAGGCCAAUAAAUCAGAAUCGCUUCUAUGGGUUGAUAUGAGAGGGCAGCCACACAGCUCAGAUUCUAGCAAACACAUCAAACAAAAAAAAGACGGGAUUCUCAAGCAUACUCACGAGCAAAUGAACAACUUUGAACUAAAGGGCCAAAAUGUGAUUGGGGCAGCAAACUCGAUGGAGAAAAUCAUAGAUGCUUUGUGUUCUGAGGUUUUUCGGAUGGUUCUCCAUGUGGUACGAUGCGCAACGUGAUCAGCAACAGGCCCUUGAUCAUUCCUGGCCUUUGUUUCCUGCUGGGAGAGAAAUUGGUUGGAUUAGAUUUAAGCAACGUGAGCACCAGCUUGCUUGCACCCUUUUUUCCAACAAAGAUUUGAAUCAGAAAAGAAAUCCAAUCUUUCUACCAUGGAUGAGAACUCCAAACAAAAAAAAAACUUACCAUCAAGUAAACUGGUCUUCUCUAUAUAAGAGUCGAAGAGCAGCAAAGGCAAACUCCACUCCAUCGAAUAAAAACUCCAGCUCAGCUCAACGAUUCCAAGAACCAGCCAUGGGCUUUCGCCAACAAAUCAAGAACAACAAUUUAGCCGAAUAGGAGCUAAUACUGCUGCUGCUAGCAUGACCACAGGUGUGGAGCACCUCCCAACACCCGGCACCAACACCACACACGAUGCUUCCUAGAUCAAGCUCCCACAUCCAGCGAAGAUGAGCGGAGCAGCCGACGAGGCACGCGGGGAGCUGGUCAUCGCUGUACAGUGAGAUGGGCGGCGAUAGCUAGGGUUGAUAGGGAAGGAGAUUGUCCAUAAGCCAUCCGACCGUAAGAUAAUGAUACGGGGACCAUUGCGGGCCACGAGCACAAGACCAUAGUAGCUCUUGCGGAGGGGAGCAUCGGCGCCGCCGCUCCAGUCGAAGCGGACAUGGGCGUCGCCGCUGGUCGGAUAAGGGAGAGAGGAAGGGGAUUGGGGACGGCGAGCGGGAUGCGACAUUAGGAGGGACCAAAACGACGGCGACGGAAGGUCUUGGAGGAGCAUCGGCGCGCCGCAGCCCGAUUGGAGCGACGGCCGACUCCCGGCCACCGAAUCGCCAAUCGGAGAAGGGAGAGAAAGGGGAUCGGGGACAGGGAGGCGACGUGGGGAGAGGAGCGCUCGUCGAUUCCACGACCUAGUAAGGGCGGAACCAUCUAGAUAGGAAAUGGAUGGCCAGAUUUUGUCCAUGCGUGGGAAAGAACGGCUCUGAUCACGUGGACUCAAUUAGAAAUACGAAAAUAACGAGGGGUUUUGUGCAAAAUUUGAUGACGUGGAUCGGCUGGGCUUGCGGCGACUCUAGCACCUUUAAGAUAUCUAGUAUAUGAGACUCAAACCUGAAACUCCAUCUUCACACGCCAUCUUGCUAUCUUAUAUUCUUAUGUAUAGAGCAAUGUUAGCAUGAAAGAAUUUAUUUUCCUUCCGCGUUCCUUUUUGUCUGAAACUAGUGACAAUAAUGAGGCAUCUAAACAACUUUACGAAAAACUUGGUAAAUAUAAAAAUUAUAAUAUUUUGUCUCCAUCCAAAUUAAGAUAAAUACUCGAAGGCAAAUAAUACAGCAAGACAUCGUGACGUGACUUCGCAGUUUAGCUGUAGCAUGUAUAGAGAUAGCAACGGUGAAUUCACCAUCGGGGGGGGGGGGGGGGGGUUACCUCCACAUCCCCGUCACCGCGGUGAUAAAACUUCACUGUCCCCGCCCCUGUCAACCACGACGGGGCUACAUUUUCAUCAGCCCCGAUCACCACGCGGUGAAUUUUUCCCUGUGGUGAACCCGUCCCCGGUUAAACAACAUAUUCAUCUCUAAAGUCCAAACUCCAAACUAUGUAAUGCAAAGAAACACAAAUCAGCACUUCAGCAGUACAUCACAUCAUCAUCCUCCUCAGCCUCAUCUUCAGCCUCAUCCUCCUCCUCAGCCUCAUCUUCAUCAUCAAGUGCUGCUCAAGUGUUGAUUUGUGUUUCUUUGCAUUAUAUGGUUUGGAGUUUGGACUUUAGAGAUGGAUAUGUUGUUUAACCAGAGACGGGUUCACCACGGAAAAAAAUUCACCGCGUGGUGAUCGGGGCUGGUGAAAAUGUAGCCCCGUCGUGGUUGACGGCGAUGGGAAUGGUGAAAUUUUAUCACCGCGGUGACGGGGACGCGGAGGUGACCCCCGACGGUGAAUUCACCGUUGCCAUCUAUAGCACGGAGAGGAAGCAGGCAGGGCCAACGAGGGGCACGGGGAGGCCGGCAAGCUCGCCCGCACCGCCUGAUGCUUAGGCCUGCCAGUGGACUUUGUUUGGAUUAAGUGGGCUGGAUCCUCAUUUGGAUCCUUUUUUGUUGGAUUGAAUUGGCCUAGGAUUCCAUUUUGGAUCGGACUGGACUGGGCUUACAAAAAAUGUGGUUUGGUUUGGGGUGGAUGCGGGCUGAGUAAAAUAACUGAUCCAGGCUCAUAGCUACAAUGGUUGGUUGCAGCAAAGUUAAAAUAAAUUACACACAAUACAAAAACUUACCAAUAAGUGUAUAAGUGAAACAAAAGAAGCUACUGAAUUCAAUCCAAAAAUCCACAACUAUAAUUUUCCAACCUCCCUUAUCUCAUAUUUGAGGCAUAACUGUUAAUCUGUUGUUAAUCUGUUAUUUAGAGAGGAAUUAGAGCUACCAAAUCCACAAAUUUGAUACUCCCUCCGUCCCAGAAUAUAAGCAUUUUUAGCAUAGUGAUAAAUCAAAAAUUUUUAACUUUGACUAUUAAUAACAAAAUAACAAAAAAUUAAUCAUGUAAAAUUGAUGUUACUAGAAUUAUCAUUAAACAAACUAUCAAAAUAUGUAACUUUUUUUAUUUAAAAUAUUUUACUUUUAUAUGGAUAUUGUUGAUCAAAGUAGCAUCUCGGAGACCAUGUCAGAGUCCUAAAAAUGCUUAUAUUUUAGGACGGAGUAUAUCAAUAAAGUUGCAAAUCCACCAAAUAAGUUUCGUUCUGAAAAAACAUUGUAUAGCUUAACUGUAGAUAAAUGCAAUGCUCAAACAAAAGCAUUCCUGCUUUUAAAAUUGUUAUUCAGAUGUGGCUUUGACUAUCACUCUGGCAGUCAUUUAGUCCUAAGGCAACUAUUUUGAUUCCUCUAAAUGAACAAUUUUUAUAGCUUUCACUCCUAAACUCAUGAAUGGUCUAGUUUAUCCCCAAACAUCCACAACCUAGAACGCAAGGUAAUCGACUAUCUAUUUUGGGAGGAAAUGAAGGCCUUUGGCUCCUAAGACGAACCAACAAGGAAUGGUAGAGGUUGAUUAUACUGGACCAUGCUUUAUAAUCCCUUCACCAUCUCCACCACCAAACGAAGCCCCAUCUGCUUCUCUAGCGAUCCAAGUGCCCAAUGUGCUAAUAAGAAGAGCAAUUGUUACCACUGCCUCACACACACCAAUAAAUAGUGGAGCGAGGCGAUGCUACGAGGGUGGCUGCGGAUCUCAGGCGAAGGAGGAGGCUACUUCGACGCAGCGGUGGUGUGAGUUGUAACCCUAAAACCCCUGGCUCGCAAGGCAGAAGAGGAGUGCACCGCCUCGCCGCACAGGCCUCGCGCCUCUGAUUUUUUUUCAUUUUAUUCCUUUUUCUUUUGGGCUGCCUCUAUUGCUUCAUGGGCCGCAGCUUCUAGUGAGGCUGUACGGAGCCACAAGUAACAAGUCUCAUAAGACCAAAACACUGGUCUCAUGAGAAACUGGGUGUCUUCACUGUUUGUUCAGCUCACAAUCUGGCAAAAUCAGCAGCCUUCUUUGCUGCCAGAGUGCUAGUGGGAGAGACCCCCUCGGGGAAUGGAUGAGAGUAGGAAGACGUGGAAAGUCCAAUGGAAAAUCAAUGCCCCUGGGAAAAUGAAGAUCAAUCUAUGGAGGGACUUGCACGACUGCCUGCAGACAGGUUUUCAACUCCACAAGCGACAGAUUCUGGCAACAGAUAGAUGUGUCUUCUACAACAGAGGCAGCCUGAUCGAACAGCGGUAGCAGAUAUAUGUCUCCUGUUGUGCCCCUUCACAGCUGCUGUGUGGGACGAAGUGAGAUCGACUUUCCCGAUUAGUUUAUGAAGGGGUGAAUUAACAAGUCUAAGACAUUGGAUUUCAGAUUUCAUGAAGGGAAGUUCGUGCCUCCAAAAUACAGUGUUAGCAGCCACCCUUUGACACAUUUGGGAGGCGAGGAACGAUUCAAAGAACGACAAGUCCUCUUUCUAUCUGCAUCUAGUGGGAUAGAAGAUAGUGGCAUAUGUCAACAUGAUUGUGCAGCACUGCUACAAGAUGAUGACUGCCUAGGCAAUUUUCCUCAUAAAUGUCUUUCGAGAUGUAAUUUUCGGAGUGUAUCCGAGAUGUCCUCUGUAGUGUGUACAGAUGCUACUUACUUGAUCAAUGAAGUGCCAUGAUUAUAUUAUCUCAAAAUAAUCACGAUACUGCUACACGCGUCAGAAAAUGAGAAAAAAACGAACAGACCUCAUCCAGGUCGGCGAGGCGGCGUUUUUUUGAGGAGCGAUGUCACCGGAGAGACGGAGAAGGAGCAGAGGUGAAGAGGCGAGGCGACUCGAAGCUGAGUCACCCGGCGCCCACGCCGCGCCGCACCGCUGAGCCGAUAGCAGCAGCUAGCCCACGAAGACGAGCUGGCGAAGGCGAGUAGCGGCGGGACUCCAGAAUCCGGGUCAGGGAGGCGUGCGGCCAGGGACGCGAGGUGGCGUGGCGCCGGCGUGCAGUGGCGACGGUGAUAGCCAACGGCGCGGCUUGUGUGUGGUGGCGGCUGGGGGUUGGGAGACAGGGAGUAGGGAAGGUAGCAGGCAAGGCCUUAGGUUUUCUUAACUGGGCCAAGCCCAUCGCAACUUGCAAAUGGGCUAGACAACGUACGUAGGGGUGGUAAUGGGUCAGGGCCCAUAGAACCUUUUUCACGAGGAACAAGUUCACCAGAGGUCCCUCAACUUAACAGCGAGAUUUUUUGAGGUCCCUUAACCACAAAACCAGAAAUAUGUAUCCCUAAACUCGCACAAACCGUGCACUCAACGUCCUAUAGCAGUAUAUAUGGUUGGUUUCGCUGACGUGGCAUCCUAGUCAGCAAAAAAAUUAAAAAAAGAACGUGGGGCCCACAUGUCAGCUGCAUAUCUUAUUUUCUUCUCUUUUUUUCUCCUCUUCUAUCUUCUCUCUUCUCUUUUCCAUGCUGCUGCUGCUGCUACUCCUGUCCCUGCCCCAGCCGCGGGACACGAGAUCCACCGCUGCCGCCGAAGUCCUCGUCGUCGCUGCGGCUGGAGAGCUUGCUGUUGGGGGAGGUCGCGCCGGGCUCCUCGUCCUCCUUGCUGCAGCUGGCCCCCCUCACCGGCGCCGGCCGGUUCACGUCGAUCCGCGGCAGGAACGGCAUCUCGAUGUCGUGGCACGCCAUCAUCGCUGUCCUCCCCCGACCUUUGUAAGAUCCAUGCACGAAACUGAGACGCUAAGAUUGCAGCAUGCAUGCACGCACGACGUCGACAUAGUCCGUCCAUCCAUACUCAUCGGAGGAGGAAGAGGAGGAGAAGAGGCCGACGCCGCUAUUCCAGCCGCACAGCUGCUGCAGCGGCGGGGCGGCACCACGGCGCGGCGGCGGCUCGUCGGCUGCACCACCGGCGACACCGAGGCUGAGCCCAAGCCUGAGGCUCAUCGGCGGCACCACGCGCCUCGCCCGUAUCUUGCGGUAGGCAGCGUCUUGACAAAUCCCUCUACGGCGAGGACCAUCUCGCCGUCGACGACGACGGCGAUGAAGAACCCAAAGAAAGGCUCGGGCGAACCCGAGCCCGAGAAGCGCGUGCGGGUGAGGUCCCACGCCAGGUCGAUGCGGCGGUCGCUAGAGGAGCCGGAGAUGGAUGCGGAAGGCCAGUGUCUCCUUGUUGAAGUAUAUCCCCACCCCAUCACUGAGGGGGACGCCAGGGUGGUCGAGGACGAGAGGCGGAGCAUGUACAGCGCAGAGCGAGAGGCCGAGGGAGGUGCGCGUCCAGGACAAUGCGGCAAGGCCGAGGUGGGUCUCGUAGAUGGAGGUCGCCAAGCUGGGUCCCGCGGGGCCGGACGCUGCAGCCGCGGACGACGCGUAGCGGAACAACACCGCCAUCACCGCUCCGCCCACCGUCGGCCUCCCUCACUGAAGAAGAGAAGAGAGAAGAGAAGGAGAAAGAGAAAGAAAAAAAUGUGCAUCUAACAUGUGGGUCUCAUGUAUUUUUUUAAUUUUUUUGCUGACUAGGAUGCCACUGUUGGCAACUUUUUGUGACAAGUUGACAACAACGAUCGCAGCACCUUACGCCUUGCGGUGAUCCUAGAGUCGCCAACCACCUCAAUCUAGCAAAAACUAGACCAAGAUGGGUUUUGAUAACUAAACCUGCUAGCAAAGCCGAUUUCUAGAUAACUACCCGUCUCGUGGGCAAAACGGAAGGUUUUCAGGACAAACCUACAAAGAGGUGUCGCACUCUCGCAGCGGCGACGGACGAUUUACGGCGCAAAUCGACAAAGAUGGACAAACUAAGAGAAAACUAGAAGCAAUAUGAAAAACGAAAAACGAUUCGAUUGAUUGGUUGUAGAUUGGUUAGUUACAAUUGAACCGGCCAUAUCCCUUAUAUAGGGGUUGGUCUUGCCCUCUACAGGCCCUCUUCCACGUCCAACCCAGGGUAGAAACCAAAGGAAACCCGAAACAUGCCUUCCCGAGCAAGAAAACCUCGAGACCCGACAAAACACAGUCGGACUCCGACCUGCCGGUCAGACCGGCCCAUUGCCGCCGGUCUGAACGGUCAGACCGCCCAACACACGGCGGUCAGACCGGCCCUACUUGGAGGAAACCGGCAGACUUCCAAACUUUGGCAAUCUUUCCUAUUUUAUCUCUAGGUGCCAAAUUUGGGUGUAAACAGCCACGUCAGCGAAACCACUCAUAUAUACUGCCCUAGGACCUUGAGUGCACGGUUCAUGUGAGUUUAGGGGUACACAUUUCUGGUUUUGUGGUGAAGGGACCUCAAAAAAUCUCGCUGUUAAGUUGAGGGACCUCUUGUGAACUUGUUCCUCGUGAAAAAGGUUCUAUGGGCCAUAACCCAUUACCACCCCUACGUAAGCUGCCUAGCCCAUUUGCAAGUUGCGAUGGGCUUGACCCACUUAAGAAAACCUAAGGCCCCCCUGCUACCUUCCCCACUCCCUGUCUCCCAACCCCCAGCGGCCACCACACACAAGCCGCGCCGUUGGCCGUCGCCGUCGCCGCUGCAUGCCGGCGCCACGCCACCUCGCGACCUUCGCCUCACGCCUCCCUGACCCGGAUUCCGGAGUUCUGCCGCUACUCACCUUCGCCAGGUCGUUGUCGCGGGCUCGCUGCUGCUCUCGGCUCAGCGGCGCGGCACGGCGUGGCCGUCGGGCGACUCAGCUUCGAGUCGCCUCGCCUCUCCACCUCUGCUCCUUCUCCGUCUCUCCGGCGACACCUCUUCUCGAAAAAAUGUCGCCUCGCCGACCUGGAUGAGGAAGUCUGUUCGUUUUUUUUUCACAUUUUCUGACGCGUGUAGCAGUACCGUGAUUAUUUUAAGAUAAUAUAAUCAUGGCACUUCAUUGAUCAAGUAAGUAGCAUCUCAGCAUCUGUACAGACUACAGAGGACAUCCCGGAUACACUCCGAAAAUUACAUCUCAAAAGACAUUUAUGAGGAAAAUUGCCUGGGUAGUCGUCACCUUGUAGCAUGCUGCACAAUCAUGUUGACAUAUGCCACUAUCUUCUAUCCCACUAGACACAGAUAGAAGGAGGACUUGUCGUUCUUUGAAUCGUUCCUCGCCUCCCAAAUGUGCCAAAAGGUGACUGCUAAUACUGCAUUUUGGAGGCACGAACUCCCCUUCAUGAAAUCUGAAAUCCAUUGUUUUAGACUUGUUAAUUCACCCCUUCAUAAACUAAUCAGGAAAGUCGAUCUCACUUCGUCCCACACAGCAGCUGUGAAUGGGCACAACAAGAGACACAUAUAUCUGCUACAGCUGUUCGAUCAGGCUGCCUCUGUUGCAGAAGAUACAUCUAUCUGUUGCCAGAAUCUAUUGCUUGUGGAGUUGAAAACCUGUCUGCAGGCAGUCGUGCAUGUCCCUCCAUAGAUUAAUCUUCAUCUUCCCAGGGGCAUUGAUUUUCCAUUGGGCUUUCCACGUCUUCCUACUCUCAUCCAUUCUCCGAGGAGGGCCUCUCCCACUAGCACUCUGGCAGCAAAGAAGGUUGCUGAUUUUGCCAGAUUGUAAGCUGAACAAAUAGUGAGACCAGUGUUUUUGUCUUAUGAGACUUGUCACUUGAGGCUCCGUACAGCCUCACUAGAAGCUGCGGCCCAUGAAGCAACAUAGGCAACCCAAAAGAAAAAGGAAUAAAAUGAAAAAUAUCAGAGGCGCGAGACCUGCGCGGCGAGGCGGUGCACUCCUCUUCUACCUCGCGAGUCAGGGGUUUUAGGGUUACGACUCACACCACCGCUACGUGGAAGUAGCCUCCUCCUCCUUCGCUUGAGAUCCGCAGCCGCCCUCGUAGCAUCGCCUCGCUCCACUAUUUAUUGGUGCGUGUGAGGCGGUGGUAGCAAUUGCUCUUCUUGUUAGCACAUUGGGCACUUGGAUCGCUGGAGAAGCUGAUGGGGCUUCGUUUGGUGGUGGAGAUGGUGAAAGGAUCAUGAAGCAUGGUCCAGUAUAAUCAACCUCGACCAUUCCUUGUUGUUGGUUCGUCUUAGGAGCCAAUGGCCUUCAUUUCCUCCAAAAAUAUAUAGUCGAUUACCUUGCGUUCCUGUAGGUUGUGGAUGUUUGGGGAUAAACUAGGCCACUCAUGAGUUUGGGAGUGAAAGCUAUAAAUUAACGAUGUAUACGAAAUGAAUUGACGUUGAGUGAAGUCCUUAGGUCGGUCUGGGCACACUCUCCCCCUAUCAGCAAACAACUAAACACCAUAUGUGUACCAUAUGAGGCUCAAACCUAAAAUCCACAUUUUUCAAUAUUUUAUUUAACAAAUAUCACAUUUUAUCAUUUUAAUCCAGAUCACAAAAUAAAUCAUUCUAUAUGUGUAAUUGAGCCCAAAUGGUAAGUAAACUCAUCACUAAGCAUGGCUAAGCAUUUUCAUAGACUAUCAUUCUUAAUGUGACGAAAUGAAUUGUCCCUAAGGCUUGGAAUAUUUGUUAAGGUCUUUUGUGUAGUUUAGGUGAUAAUGCAAGUUAAGGAGUUGAGCUAACAAAUUUUACAAAAUUUUAAUGGGUUAAUGUACACUUAACAUGCAAGUUUUGCAAUCUUUUCAAAAACCUCCAAAUCAUAGGUUCAAUGUGAUAAAGAGGGGAGGUGGCUUGCCUUGCUCUUCCUCUCCUUGCUCAGCUACAAAGUAGGUCUCCUCGUGACUCGGCUGUGAAUCGUCUAAUCACACAUAUGCAAAGUCAAAAUUAUAAACAUACAUAAAAAUCCAACAUGCUCUAAAAUGAAUGCCUUUUCUUAACCUAAAAUGAAUGCCUUUUCUUAGGUUAAGUGUGUUCUGUGUUAAGUUGAUUUUUAGUGAAAGAGUUUUCAUUUUAGCAGUUUUCAUUUAAAGAUUACAAAUUUUUAAAGUGUUUACAUGAUAAUUAUGGUCCUAAGUGCAUUUCGGAUUUUUGAGACAUAAAUCUUUAUGAUUCUGUUAAGUUGAACAUUUUUAUGAUGCAGAGCAUGAAAAUAUGAUUCCAACAAAAUUUAGUUUGCAAAUUUUAGAGUUAGGAUGAAGUUUUGACAAAUUCUUAAAGUUCUACCAUUUUUCGGUUGUUUAUAAACUAGUUUUACAUUUUCUCUGUUUUCUUGAGUCAUUUCUCUCUCUCGGGUCCACCAGUCAGUGACUAUCAUUUUACGCAAAAGCCCCUGGGUUCUCGGAAAAUAGAUCCCGCAGCCCCUAGCACGUGUUUUAGGUUUUUAUGCAAAAAGACGCUUGAGUUUUAGUUUAUUUACAUAUUAGUACUGGUCCCACUUGUAAGUGACUGCUUGAGUUUCUAAUACAUCCCUGGGAAUCUUUAAAUUUCACAAGCCAUGCCCUUGCUCUGGACAGAGCAGAGCAGCAGCACAGCCGCGAGUUUCACGGCAUCACCGGCGGCGAACGGUGACGAUUCAGCCCAAGCUCCCAAAACGAAAAGUGUAUAGAACAACCGUGCGAACCCAUUGGUGGCUGUAUUGCAAGCUUUGGUGCUCUAUAGCGGUUGUUAGGAUGUUAGAAGCGGUGGUUAAGCUCAGCUUGCACAUGCAUGUGGGUUUUGAGGCUUGAUCUAAACGUGCAUGUGUUAGCUGGAGGUCCUAGGGACUAUUAGGAAGCUCACCAAGCAGCGAACGCGGCUCGGCGAAGUCUUGGCGACGGUGUGCUGGUUCGGCGACGGCGCGGCUGCUACGGUCGUCGUCGGCAGUGCUCCUCCGGCCUUGAUCUGUUCAAAGCGAAGGCACACAUCGAUUUGAGACGACACAAGACAGCUCUAGGCGAAAAAUAUUGUGCCGAAGCUCACCAGAGAAAGAGGAAGAGAGAAAUGGCGUCGGCGGUCGGAGUUGGGGAAGAAGAAGGGGAUCUCCCACCGUGGUCCACCUCGUGCCGAUUCCUUCGGGGUUCUUGGUCAAUGGGUGCUGGUGAAGAUGUUGGCGAGAUGGCCUGACCAAUGGUGGACUGUGGAAGCCGGGCGACGAGCAACAGCGAUGCGACGGUGCCCAGAGCGCGGCGGCGUUCCGAGUAAUGACGCGGUCGCGUUCCCGGAGAUUGG